rnacentral:lncRNA from 1 species
CCGCGGCGGAAGACGUUCCCGUGCGGACCGUGCACACGCUUUCCCCAGGCCCAUUACCUGAACUCUUUUCUUGUGAGUGGAGGCGUUUGCGGAGCACGGACUGAACGGCCUGCUUGUUAGAGGCCCCCGGUCCCUAGAUGACCCCAUUUUCUUGUCUCGCCCGCGGCCUACAAGCUCUGCACUUGAGUUUCCACCCGGAGUCAAUGCAGGAGCCUGGGCGGUGGGCUCAGACAGCAUUUCUCUGUGUUACACCCUGGCUGUUCUGAAACUUACUCUGUAGACCAGGCUGGCCUCGAACUCAUAGAGAUCAGCCUGCCUCUGCCUCCCAAGUGCUGGGGCUAAAGUGGUGGCGCACACCUUUAAUCCCAGCAUCCAGGAGACAAAGGAAGGCAGAUCUCUGUGAGUUGGAGGCCAACCUGGUCUACAGAGCGAGCAAGUGAGUUCCAGGACAGCAAGAAAUACAGAUGAGACUCUGUCUCAAAAAACAAAAGGAUAAAAUAUAAUAAAGACAAGCCCUUUCAUG